GCCGGGGUAGCUCAGCGGUAGAGCACUGGACUGAAAAUCCAGGUGUCGUCGGUUCGACUCCGACCCCCGGCACCA
rnacentral:tRNA from 3 species